rnacentral:rRNA from 1 species
CAAUAGCGUAUAUUAAAGUUGUUGCAGUUAAAAAGCUCGUAGUUGGAUUUCGGGACGGGCCAGUUGGUCCGCCGCAAGGUGUGUUACUGACUGGUCUGUUCUUCUUCGCAAAGACUGCGUGUGCUCUUCGUUGAGUGUGCGUAGGAUUUACGACGUUUACUUUGAAAAAAUUAGAGUGUUCAAAGCAGGCUAUCGCUUGAAUACAUGAGCAUGGAAUAAUGGAAUAGGACUUUGGUCCUAUUUUGUUGGUUUCUAGGACCGAAGUAAUGAUUAAGAGGGACAAUUGGGGGCAUCCGUAUUUCGUUGUCAGAGGUGAAAUUCUUGGAUUUACGAAAGACGAACAACUGCGAAAGCACUUGCCAAGAGUGUCUUCAUUAA